UGGACGCAGCCUGCCGGACUAGUGAGCCUCCUCCUGGCGGGGGCGCGGGGGACUGAAGGGAGAGACCUUCUCCUCCUUCCGGCUGCCCGGGACAGCUGUGCUCUCCGACUCCCUCCCUCCUUCCCAGCCCACCUCGGCUCGGGCGUGUCUCCGGCUCUUUUCGCUGGCCGGGCGAGGAGCGGGGUCUCGGGGCUGCUUGCUCGCUCUUGCUUCUCCCUGGCCGCCGGGCGACUGGCAACAGGAGGCCGUGGAUUUCCCCCGACGACAUCUUCAACUAAAGAUGUCAGAGCACAAGCUCACAUCCCACGGAAGGUAGCAAUUACUAUGAUCUCUACUUGACAGCUGCAAGAACCUAGGCACAGAGUUCAAGUGCUCUGCUAAUACUACCAGCCAUAUGCGGUGGUAUCCUGCCAGAACCGAGUUCUUGCCUCCCAGUGGACACCACUGACCUCUCAAGAUUAUUCUUUAAGUUAAAAAGAAUAAAUUUACUAAGACAGGGUCUUGCUAUGUUGCCCAGGCUGGUCUCAAACUCCUGGAUUCCCAUCUUGACCUCCCAAUGUGAAAAUGUGAGACCUCCUAGGCCAAGAAGAACAACCUGAGGACCCUAUUUCUGAAGGUCAUUGAACUCCUUUAGUAAGUCCGGAGGAGAAAUGUGAGAUCAGUACAUCUUUUGAAUCUAUGACAGCUAAGGGUACA